rnacentral:rRNA from 1 species
ACGCACGCUGGCGGCGUGCUUCACCCCUGCCAGUCGCACGGAAAGGCCCUGCUUUUGUGGGGUGCUCGAGUGGCGAACGGGUGAGUAACACGUGAGUAACCUGCCCUUGACUUUGGGAUAACUUCAGGAAACUGGGGCUAAUACCGGAUAGGAGCUCCUGCUGCAUGGUGGGGGUUGGAAAGUUUCGGCGGUUGGGGAUGGACUCGCGGCUUAUCAGCUUGUUGGUGGGGUAGUGGCUUACCAAGGCUUUGACGGGUAGCCGGCCUGAGAGGGUGACCGGCCACAUUGGGACUGAGAUACGGCCCAGACUCCUACGGGAGGCAGCAGUGGGGAAUAUUGCACAAUGGGCGGAAGCCUGAUGCAGCAACGCCGCGUGCGGGAUGACGGCCUUCGGGUUGUAAACCGCUUUCGCCUGUGACGAAGCGUGAGUGACGGUAAUGGGUAAAGAAGCACCGGCUAACUACGUG